CAGAUGAUUCUUUCGACGUUACACGCGACUUGAAUUAUGGUCCGCAGGUUUAUUCGCAAAUGUGAGUCACGGCGCCGUGGCAUUUUACUUGAUAUUAGAACGAGAACGGAAGGUGCAGUGCCCACGCACAAGGAAACAAAUGACGGGAGGGGGAAGAUAGGAGAAGGAGUGUAUGUAUUUGCAGCGCGAAAUGAAACAGGUGCGAUCAUAC
rnacentral:lncRNA from 1 species